CGUCGCUCAUUCACCUUUUUAUGUCAGAACGCGGUAACGUGACGCUACAUAAGCCUUAGAAUGACGCCAAAGCCAUGGUGCCUAUCGUCAAUUGAACCGAUAUCAACCGCGCAAGCGGCUUAUCAAACUCAGGACGACACGUUGAGUGAGGCGCCAGCCC
rfam:Leminorella grimontii ATCC 33999 = DSM 5078 strain ATCC 33999 GLGR.assembly.07, whole genome shotgun sequence.